rnacentral:rRNA from 1 species
UGACGCUGGCGGCAGGCCUACACAUGCAAGUCGAGCGGAUGAGUGGAGCUUGCUCCAUGAUUCAGCGGCGGACGGGUGAGUAAUGCCUAGGAAUCUGCCUGGUAGUGGGGGAUAACGUUUCGAAAGGAACGCUAAUACCGCAUACGUCCUACGGGAGAAAGUGGGGGAUCUUCGGACCUCACGCUAUCAGAUGAGCCUAGGUCGGAUUAGCUAGUUGGUGGGGUAAUGGCCCACCAAGGCGACGAUCCGUAACUGGUCUGAGAGGAUGAUCAGUCACACUGGAACUGAGACACGGUCCAGACUCCUACGGGAGGCAGCAGUGGGGAAUAUUGGACAAUGGGCGAAAGCCUGAUCCAGCCAUGCCGCGUGUGUGAAGAAGGUCUUCGGAUUGUAAAGCACUUUAAGUUGGGAGGAAGGGCAGUAAGUUAAUACCUUGCUGUUUUGACGUUACCAACAGAAUAAGCACCGGCUAACUUCGUGCCAGCAGCCGCGGUAAUACGAAGGGUGCAAGCGUUAAUCGGAAUUACUGGGCGUAAAGCGCGCGUAGGUGGUUCAGCAAGUUGGAUGUGAAAGCCCCGGGCUCAACCUGGGAAUUGCAUCCAAAACUACUGAGCUAGAGUACGGUAGAGGGUGGUGGAAUUUCCUGUGUAGCGGUGAAAUGCGUAGAUAUAGGAAGGAACACCAGUGGCGAAGGCGACCACCUGGACUGAUACUGACACUGAGGUGCGAAAGCGUGGGGAGCAAACAGGAUUAGAUACCCUGGUAGUCCACGCCGUAAACGAUGUCGACUAGCCGUUGGGAUCCUUGAGAUCUUAGUGGCGCAGCUAACGCGAUAAGUCGACCGCCUGGGGAGUACGCCGCAGGUUAACUCC